rnacentral:snRNA from 1 species
GUGCACUCCCUUCAGCAGCACAUAUACUGAAACUGGAAGCAUACAGAGAUCAGCAUGGCCCCUGCACAAGGAUGACAUGCAAAUUCCGGAAUUGUUUCAUAUUUUU